UUUCAUUAACAGCCUGUAAAAGACACUCUGGGGCAGCUCUUUCGGCACAGGAGAGUGUUAACGGAAAUUAGGUAAUCAACAUCCUGAGUUACUGUUGUUUAUUUGAUUCAAGCUGAUUCAGGAUACAGUGCUGUGGGUGGUAACCCUUAAAUACAAAACCUGGAAGUCAAACAAAGAGAACACAGCUUCCAGUAAACCAGAGAGGGAUAAAGUGACGGAUCACACUGAGAUUGUAUCACUGUGAUAGUGAAUCUCUGCUGAGUACCAGAGAAAGUGAUCGGCCCACAGAUGAGAACUGAUCACCAAUCAUGACGGCCAAUGCUUGUUUAAGAAGGGAGUACGGCGUCCUCCUCCUCUUUCUGGCUGUCUUUGUCUUCAUCUUUGUGCUACGACACAUGGACGUUCUGGGGUUUCAGCCUAAAUCCAUCAUCAUCAUGGUGGAUCAUCAGUCAGUCUCCACUGACCC